UGGGGAAUAUUGGACAAUGGGCGAAAGCCUGAUCCAGCCAUGCCGCGUGUGUGAAGAAGGUCUUCGGAUUGUAAAGUACUUUAAGUUGGGAGGAAGGGCAGUAAGCGAAUACCUUGCUGUUUUGACGUUACCGACAGAAUAAGCACCGGCUAACUCUGUGCCAGCAGCCGCGGUAAUACAGAGGGCGCAAGCGUUAAUCGGAAUUACUGGGCGUAAAGCGCGCGUAGGUGGUUCGUUAAGUUGAAUGUGAAAGCCCCGGGCUCAACCUGGGAACUGCAUCCAAAACUGGCGAGCUAGAGUAGGGCAGAGGGGGGUGGAAUUUCCUGUGUAGCGGUGAAAUGCGUAGAUAUAGGAAGGAACACCAGUGGCGAAGGCGACCACCUGGGCUCAUACUGACACUGAGGUGCGAAAGCGUGGGGAGCAAACAGG
rnacentral:rRNA from 1 species